rnacentral:rRNA from 1 species
AUGGGCAGCAGGCUUGACGCGCACACGCUCAAGGACGAGGUGGCGAGCAUGGACCGCCGCCCGCUCCUCGACCUCGGCCACCCGCUCCUCAACCGCGUCGCCGACAGCUUCAUCCGCGCCGCCGGAGUCGGAGCGGCGAGGGCGGUGUCGCGGGAGGCCUACUUCGUCGCAGUCGAAGGGAUGUGGGGAGACUCGACGGGGCUGGACAGCACCGCCAAGAGGAGCCAUUUCUCCAGCGCCAGAGGGGAUGACGGCCAGAAGUCGCUCGACGCAGUGGUUAAAUCGGCAAGCAAGGAGGCCAUCCAGUGGGGAUUGGCAGCCGGAGUCUACUCUGGGAUAACGUACGGUCUGAGAGAGGCAAGAGGACACCAUGACUGGAAGAACAGCGCGAUAGCAGGGGCGAUUGCGGGAGCGGCAGUCGCGCUGACCGGGGACAACGGGCACUCCGACCACGUCGUCCAUUUCGCCAUCACCGGAGCCGCACUGUCGAGCGCGGCGACCAUGCUCUCCGGCAUAUUCUAA